rnacentral:lncRNA from 1 species
UGGAAGGCUCUAGGGGAAUAAAGAUGGAAUGACUUCUAAUUUUUAGGUCCGUAUGAUUUGAAAUACUUGCACACAAACCACGCGAAAGCGUUCCUGGAAAUCUCAGCCCAAAAAAGGACGUUUAGUAAUUCUAAAAGGGACUACAGGAUGAAAAACAAUAGUUUUGGCAGUUAAAGUUUGAGAUUCGACAGUGCCGUAGAUCCGUUUGGUCAUCAGGUAUUACGAGCCACACCCAUGUCUAGCUAGAAUAGUGUGCUAGGCUCAGGCUAGAGAAGAAACGGGGAACAAACUGAUGAAAGAAUGAUCAAACCGAGGGAAUUCACUCAGAACUAACAAUAAUGAUAACGUGCUCCGACUGGUGCGGUUUAGGAACUGCUGGAAGGCUCUAGGGGAAUAAAGAUGGAAUGACUUCUAAUUUUUAGGUCCGUAUGAUUUGAAAUACUUGCACACAAACCGCGCGAAAGCGUUCCUGGAAAUCUCAGCCCAAAAAAGGACGUUUAGUAAUUUUAAAAGGGACUAUAGGAUGAAAAACAAUAGUUUUGGCAAUUAAAGUUUGAGAUUCGACGGUGUCGUAGAUCCGUUUGGUCAUCAGGUGUUACGAGCCACACCCAUGUCUAGCUAGAAUAGUAUGUCAGGCUCAGGUUAGAGUAGAAACGGGGAACAAACUGAUGAAAGAAUGAUCAUACCAAGGGAAUUCACUCAGAACUAUCAAGAAUGAUAACGUGCUCCGACUGGAGUGAUUUAGGAACUGCUGGAAGGCUCUAGGGGAAUAAAGAUGGAAUGACUUCUAAUUUUUACGUCCGUAUGAUUUGAAAUACUUGCACACAAAUCACGCAAAAGCGUUCCUGGAAAUCUCAGCCUAAAAAAGGACGUUUAGUAAUUCUAAAAGGGACUACAGGAUGAAAAACAAUAGUUUGGGCAGUUAAAAUUUGAGAUUCGACGGUGCCGUAGAUCCGUUUGGUCAUCAGGUGUUACGAGCGACACCCUUGUCUAGCUAGAAUAGUGUGUUAGGCUCAGACUAGAGAAGAAACGGGGAACAAAGUGAUGAAAGAAUGAUCAUACCGAGGGAAUUCACUCAGAACUAACAAGAAUGAUAACGUGCUCCGACUGGAGCGGUUUAGUAACUGCUGGAAGGCUCUAGGGGAAUGAAGAUGGAAUGACUUCUAAUUUUUAGGUCCGUAUGAUUUGAAAUACAUGCACACAAACCCUGAGAAAGCGUUCCUGGAAAUCUCGGUCGAAAAAAGGAUGUUUAAUAAUUCUAAAAGGGACUACCGGAUGAAAAACAAUAGUUUUGGCAGUUAAAGUUUGUGAUUCGAUGGUGCCGUAGAUCUGUUUGGUCAUCAGGUGUUACGAGCCACACCCAUGUCUAUCUAGAAUAGUGUGUUAGGCUCAGGCUAGAGCAGAAACGGGGAACAGACUUAUGAAAGAAUGAUCAUACCGAGGGAAUUCACUCAGAACUAACAAGAAUGAUAACGUGCUCCGACUGGCGCGGUUUAGGAACUGCUGGAAGGCUCUAGGGGAAUAAAGAUGGAAAGACUUCUAAUUUUUAGGUCCGUAUGAUUUGAAAUACUUGCACACAAACCGCACGAAAGCGUUCCUGGAAAUCUCAGCCUAAAAAGGAUGUUUAGUAAUUCUAAAAGGGACUACAAGAUGAAAAAUAAUAGUUUGGGCAGUUAAAAUUUGAGAUUCGACGAUGCCGUAGAUCCGUUUGGUCAUCAGGUGUUAUGAGCCACACCCAUGUCUAGCUAGAAUAGUGUGUUAGGCUCAGGCUAGAGAAGAAACGGGGAACAAACUGAUGAAAGAAUGAUCAUACCGAGGGAAUUCACUCAGAACUAACAAGAAUGAUAACGUGCUCCGACUGGAGCAGUUUAGAAACUGCUGGAAGGCUCUAAUGGAAUAAAGAUGGAAUGCCUUCAAAUUUCUAGGUCCGUAUGAUUUGAAAUACUUGCACACAAACCGCUCGAAAGCGUUCCUGGAAAUCUCAGCCCAAAAAAGGACGUUUAGUAAUUCUAAAAGGGACUACAGGAUGAAAAACAAUAGUUUUGGCAGUUAAAGUUUGAGAUUCGAUGGUGCCGUAGAUCCGUUUGGUCAUCAGGUGUAACGAGCCACACACAUGUCUAGCUAGAGUAGUGUGCUAGGCUCAGACUAGAGAAGAAACGGGGAACAAAGUGAUGAAAGAAUGAUCAUACCGAGGGAAUUCACUCAGAACUUACAAGAAUGAUAACGUGCUCCGACUGGAGCGCUUUAGUAACUGCUGGAAGGCUCUAGGCGAAUAAAGAUGGAAUGACUUCUAAUUUUUAGGUCCGUAUGAUUUGAAAUACUUGCACACAAACCACGCAAAACCGUUCCUAGAAAUCUCGGUCGAAAAAAGGACGUUUAGUAAUUCUAAAAGGGACUACAGGAUGAAAAACAAUAGUUUUGGCAGUUAAAGUUUGAGAUUCGAUGGUGCCGUAGAUCCGUUUGGUCAUCAGGUGUUACGAGCCACACCCAUGUCUAGCUAGAGUAGUGUGCUAGGUUCAGACUAGAGAAGAAACGGGGAACAAAGUGAUUAAAGAAUGAUCAUACCGAGGGAAUUCACUCAGAACUAACAAGAAUGAUAACGUGCUCCGACUGGAGCGGUUUAGGAACUGCUGGAAGGCUCUAGGGGAAUAAAGAUGGAAUGACUUCUAAUUUUUACGUCCGUAUGAUUUGAAAUACAUGCACACAAACCACGCAAAAGCGUUCCUGGAAAUCUCAGCCUAAAAAAGGACGUUUAGUAAUUCUAAAAGGGACUACAGGAUGAAAAAUAAUAGUUUGGGCAGUUAAAAUUUGAGAUUCGACGCUGCCGUAGAUCCGUUUGGUCAUCAGGUCUUACGAGCCACACCCAUGUCUAGCUAGAAUAGUGUGUUAGGCUCAGGCUAGAGAAGAAACGGGGAACAAACUGAUGAAAGAAUGAUCAUACCGAGGGAAUUCACUCAGAACUAACAAGAAUGAUAACGUGCUCCGACUGGAGCAGUUUAGAAACUCCUGGAAGGCUCUAGGGGAAUAAAGAUGGAAUGACUUCAAAGUUUUAGGUCCGUAUGAUUUGAAAUACUUGCACACAAACCGCGUGAAAGCGUUCCUGGAAAUCUCAACCCAAAAAAGGGCGUUUAGUAAUUCUAAAAGGGACUACAGGAUGUAAAACAAUAGUUUUGGCAGUUAAAGUUUGAGAUUCGAUGGUGCCGUAGAUCCGUUUGGUCAUCAGGUGUAACGAGCCACACCCAUGUCUAGCUAGAGUAGUGUGCUAGGCUCAGACUAGAGAAGAAACGGGGAACAAAGUGAUGAAAGAAUGAUCAUACCGAGGGAAUUCACUCAUAACUAACAAGAAUGAUAACGUGCUCUGACUUGAGCGGUUUAGGAACUGCUGGAAGGCUAUAGGGGAAUAAAGAUGGAAUGACUUCAAAUUUUUAGGUCCGUAUGAUCUGAAAUACUUGCACACAAACCGCGAGAAAGCGUUCCUGGAAAUCUCAACCCAAAAAAGGACGUUUAGUAAUUCUAAAAGGGACUACAGGAUGAAAAACAAUAGUUCUGGCAGUUAUUGUUUGAGAUUCGAUAAUCUCGUAGAUCCGUUUGGUCAUCAGGUGUAACGAGCCACACCCAUGUCUAGCUAGAGUAGUGUGCUAGGCUCAGACUAGAGAAGAAACGGGGAACAAACUGAUGAAAGAAUGAUCAUACCGAGGGAAUUCACUUAGAACUAACAAGAAUGAUAACGUGCUCCGACUGGAGCGGUUUAGGAACUGCUGGAAGGCUCUAGGGGAAUAAAGAAGGAACGACUUCUAAUUUUUAGGUCCGUAUGAUUUGAAAUAUGUGCACACAAACCACGAGAAAGCGUUCCUAGAAAUCUCGGCCCAAAAGAGGACGUUUAGUAUUCUAAAAGGGACUACAGAAUGAAAAACAAUAGUUUUGGCAGUUAAAGUUUGAGAUUUGACGGUGCCGUAGAUCUGUUUGGUCAUCAGGGGUUACGAGCCACACCCAUGUCUAGCUAGAAUAGUGUGUUAGGCUCAGGCUAGAAAAGAAACGGGGAACAAAGUGAUGAAAGAAUGAUCAUACCGAGGGAAUUCACUCAGAACUAACAAGAAUGAUAACAUGCUCCGACUGGAGCGGUUUAGGAACUGCUGGAAGGCUCUAGGGGAAUAAAGAUGGAAUGACUUCUAAUUUUUAGGUCCGUAUGAUUUGAAAUACUUGCACACAAACCGCGCGAAAGCGUUCCUGGAAAUCUCAGCCCAAAAAAGGACGUUUAGUAAUUCUAAAAGGGACUACAGGAUGAAAAACAAUAGUUUUGGCAGUUAAAGUAUGAGAUUCAACGGUGCCGUAGAUCCGUUUGGUCAUUAGGUGUUACGAGCCACACCCAUGUCUAGCUAGAAUAGUGUGCUAGGCUCAGGCUAGAGAAGAAACGGGGAACAAACUGAUGAAAGAAUGAUCAAACCGAGGGAAUUCACUCAGAACUAACAAUAAUGAUAACGUGCUCCGACUGGAGCGGUUUAGGAACUGCUGGAAGUCUCUAGGGGAAUAAAGAUGGAAUGACUUCUAAUUUUUACGUUCGUAUGAUUUGAAAAACUUGCCCAUAAACCGCGCGAAAGUGUUCCUGGAAAUCUCAGCCCAAAAAAGGACGUUUAGUAAUUUUAAAAGGGACUACACGAUGAAAAACAAUAGUUUUGGCAGGUAAAGUUUGAGAUUCGACAGUGCCGUAGAUCCGUUUGGUCAUCAGGUGUUACGAGCCACACCCAUGUCUAGCUAGAAUAGUAUGUUACGCUCAGGUUAGAGAAGAAACGGGGAACAAACUGAUGAAAGAUGAUCAUACCAAGGGAAUUCACUCAGAACUAACAAGAAUGAUAACGUGCUCCGACUGGAGCGGUUUAGGAACUGCUGGAAGGCUCUAGGGGAAUAAAGAUGGAAUGACUUCUAAUUUUUACGUCUGUAUGAUUUGAAAUACUUGCACACAAACAACGCAAAAGCAUUCCUGGAAAUCUCAUCCUAAAAAAGGACGUUUAGUAAUUCUAAAAGGGACUACAGGAUGAAAAAUAAUAGUUUGGGAAGUUAAAAUUUGAGAUUCGAUAGUGCCGUAGAUCCGUUUGGUCAUCAGGUGUUAGGAGCCACACCCAUGUCUAGCUAGAAUAGUGUGUUAGGCUCAGGCUAGAGAAGAAACAGGGAACAAACUGAUGAAA